AGCGAACGCUGGCGGCAGGCCUAACACAUGCAAGUCGAACGGACCCUUCGGGGUUAGUGGCGGACGGGUGAGUAACACGUGGGAACGUGCCUUUAGGUUCGGAAUAGCUCCUGGAAACGGGUGCGAAUGCCGAAUGUGCCCUUCGGGGGAAAGAUUUAUCGCCUUUAGAGCGGCCCGCGUCUGAUUAGCUAGUGGGUGAGGUAACGGCUCACCACGGCGACGAUCAGUAGCUGGUCUGCGAGGAUGACCAGCCACACUGGGACUGAGACACGGCCCAGACUCCUACGGGAGGCGGCAGUGGGGGAUCUUGCGCAAUGGGCGAAAGGCUGACGCAGCCAUGCCGGGUGAAUGAUGAAGGUCUUAGGAUUGUAAAAUUCUUUCACCGGGGACGAUAAUGACGGUACCCGGAGAAGAAGCCCCGGCUAACUUCGUG
rnacentral:rRNA from 1 species